rnacentral:snRNA from 1 species
GAUGAAAUUGGGUUAUAGCUACCUCAACCUAUUGAUUCAUCCAGAAUUAAUUUAGCUCAUCUGGCUGGCCAGGUGUGUGGCCCCUUUCUAUAUUUACCACUUGUUUUCUUUCUGAAGCUGCAUGCUUCAUUUUAGGCGAUGACUUACGUAAGUGUUUUUGAUAAGCAUAUAGCUACGUCUGACCUCCAGGUAGAACUUCCAAAAAGUUCUGAAGGUCAGUUUAAAGGAGAAUUUAAGCUGUCUUAAGUUAUUAAAAACAAAGACUUCUUUAUUUCUCCUAAAAUGGGAUUUUUA